ensembl:lncRNA
CCCUCCUCAGACCCCACCCCCAUUCCCCAAGUGGCUUCUAUUGCUGGGUCAGAGGUCGACGUUGGUGUGACAGAAAAAAUGAGGAAAGUAAAGGUUGAAAGGGUAGGGCGGGGGGAGGGGUAUUAUGGCAGGGGAAAUGGGUAAGUUGGAUGAAGAUGUAGAGUUGGCGUGUGUGUGUGUGUGUGUGUGGGGUGGGUUACCGCCCACUCUCCCUUGGUCCGUACAGGUUGCCAUGACAACAAGGUCUUUGUACACCUCCCUAACCCACACACACACAAUCCUCCCAUGCACAUAGAAAAUUCAGUUAUUCAUGCGCAUGGACACUGGCAGUUUUGUGGUUUCAAGUCAUACAUUCGCACGCACACACAUCCACACCGUUAUCCGUCCUCCACGCUGCCGGCCCCCGGUGACGCACAGCGGACGCGCUACUCUCUCCACAGAGGGGGACAUGCUCUGUUCACUGGCACCGCAAGGAUAAAUGUCAGACGUGCACACAUGCGCAUACAUGUGCACUCACACACACACACACACACACACACACACACAUACGCAUUCCAGGUAGUGAAUCGCCGGAGGACUGUUAUCUUUGUGAUGCUACAUCUCUUUCAAAAUUGCCGGAGUGAGAUUCAAAGGAAUUAAAUAGUAGUUUUUUUUUUCAAAUCCCCUUUAAACGUCUGAGCAACACAUACCCACACACUCACCCUCUCACACACUCAAAGAUACACUCAUACUCACACACACACACACACACGGCCCUCCCAUGGACGAGGCUGUAGAGGAAGUGAGCGCCGCCUUGGUUUAUUUAUUGAUGCUUUUCCCCCUAAGACACAACGGGAAUGGAGGAAUAAAAGAAGCGGUGAAUAAUUAAAGGGGGAAGGGGGGGGGACUCAUUAAGUUAUCCACAAGGGCUGGAGAGGUAUUGAGGUAUGGUGGGAUGGAGGGAUGGAGGAAGGGCAAGAGAGAGAGAGAGAGAGAGCAGAGAAGAAAGAAGGGCAACACCUGCGGGAGAUCAAAGCAGGUCGGUGGAACAAUUCGACAAGCAAACUCUGAAAAAUUCAUAGAAAGUGAAUUAAAAUACACAGUCCGUACAACGAGCAAAGGUAUGGAGGACAAAGCUGAACGCAUAGAGGAUGAGAAACAAGAGGAGACCAGCAGAAUACUGAAGAGGUGAAGAAGACUAUGUUGAGUUUGGUGGUGUCAGUCAGACUCUCCAGGAGACCAAUCACAAGUGUUUGUUUGUUACCGUGGCGAGAUACACAUCGGGUUCACAACAUCGCUUAAGGUGUGUGGCUGAGAAUGUGUGUUUGUGUGUGUAUGUGUGUGUGUGUGUGUGUGUGUGUGUGUGUGUGUGUGUGUGUGUGUGUGUGUGUGUGUGUGUGUGUGUGUGUGUGUGUGUGUGUGUGUGUGUGUGUGUGUGUGUGUGUGUGUGUGUGUGUGUAUGUGAGAGAGUGCUACUGCAUGUAUCAGUGAGAAUCAGCAUGUGUUUUCAGCAGGUCAGCUUAUCCUGUGUCAGGAAAUGGAGUGUUGCUCUGCAGAUGGAACUGCACUCCCAGCUUCCCUCCAGCUUAUCUCCUGUUCACUUAACCCUCUGCUGAUACCAUCAGCGGCUGGAGGCUCGCUUGUCACUCAAUUAGACCCAGGAAAUGCAUGUGUACGUGUGUGUGUGUGUGUGUGUUUGUGUGUGUGUGUGUGUGUGUGUGUGUGUGUGUGUGUGUGUGUGUGUGUGUGUGUGUGUGUGUGUGUGUGUGUGUGUG